rnacentral:rRNA from 1 species
UACAGAGGUCUCAAGCGUUGUUCGGAUUCAUUGGGCGUAAAGGGUGUGUAGGUGGCGCCGUAAGUCGGGGUGUGAAAUUUCGGAGCUUAACUCCGAAACUGCAUUCGAUACUGCGGUGCUUGAGGACUGGAGAGGAGACUGGAAUUCAUGGUGUAGCAGUGAAAUGCGUAGAGAUCAUGAGGAAGACCAGUGGCGAAGGCGGGUCUCUGGACAGUUCCUGACACUGAGACACGAAGGCCAGGGGGGAGCAAAACGGG